rnacentral:rRNA from 1 species
AUUGAACGCUGGCGGAAUGCUUUACACAUGCAAGUCGAACGGCAGCACGGACUUCGGUCUGGUGGCGAGUGGCGAACGGGUGAGUAACAUAUCGGAACGUAUCCAAUAAUGGGGGAUAACGAGUCGAAAGAUUCGCUAAUACCCCAUACGCCCUACGGGGGAAAGCUGGGGACCUUCGGGCCUGGCGUUAAUGGAGCGGCCGAUAUCUGAUUAGCUAGUUGGUGGGGUAAAGGCUCACCAAGGCGACGAUCAGUAGCUGGGCUGAGAGGACGACCGGCCAAACUGGAACUGAGACACGGUCCAGACUCCUACGGGAGGCAGCAGUGGGGAAUUUUGGACAAUGGGCGCAAGCCUGAUCCAGCCAUUCCGCGUGAGUGAAGAAGGCCUUCGGGUUGUAAAGCUCUUUCGCAAGGGAAGAAAACUUAGCCACUAACAUUGGUUGAGGUUGACGGUACCUUGAUAAGAAGCACCGGCUAACUACGUGCCAGCAGCCGCCGUAA